rnacentral:rRNA from 1 species
GACGAACGCUGGCGGCGUGCUUAACACAUGCAAGUCGAACGGUAAGGCCCUUCGGGGUACACGAGUGGCGAACGGGUGAGUAACACGUGGGUGAUCUGCCCUGCACUUCGGGAUAAGCCUGGGAAACUGGGUCUAAUACCGGAUAGGACCACUGCCUGCAUGGGUGGUGGUGGAAAGCUUUUGCGGUGUGGGAUGGGCCCGCGGCCUAUCAGCUUGUUGGUGGGGUGAUGGCCUACCAAGGCGACGACGGGUAGCCGGCCUGAGAGGGUGACCGGCCACACUGGGACUGAGAUACGGCCCAGACUCCUACGGGAGGCAGCAGUGGGGAAUAUUGCACAAUGGGCGCAAGCCUGAUGCAGCGACGCCGCGUGAGGGAUGACGGCCUUCGGGUUGUAAACCUCUUCCAGCACCGACGAAGCGUAAGUGACGGUAGGUGCAGAAGAAGGACCGGCCAACUACGUGCCAGCAGCCGCGGUAAAAC